rnacentral:lncRNA from 1 species
AUAAAUCUCAUGAACCGUAAGUCGUAAAGACUGCGGGUCUUCAGAUUUGAGUUCAUUGGACCAAAACUUAAAAAUAUAGGUCAAGGUCAAAGGUCAAGGUCAUAUUUUAGAUUUUCAAAAGUUUUUCAUUUCCCUAUAACUAUUGAACGGUUAUAGAUACAGAAAAUUUAAGCAGUGAAAAAUGAUUGGUACUUUAAGGGGCAACUUUUUUACAUUAUGACUAUAUUGAUUUUACCAUCAUGUAAGGGACAUAACUCCCACUAAUGGUUUUUAAAAAGCCAUUUUUAGGCAAAACUCUUAAACAAAAGGUCCUUGACCCAUAGGGUCUUUUGCAAUGACCUUGUGGAGCAAUGACCUUGACGAAGGUCACAAGGUCAAAGGUCAAGGUCAUCAAAUUAUGUGGUUUUUGGCACUAUUUAAACAGUUUUAUGUGUGUUUGAAUCCAAACCAACCAACCAACCAACCAACCAAUCAAUCAUUCAAUCAAUUAAUCAAUCAAUCAAUCAAUGUUUCCGUUUAAUGUGUUUCAUAAGGGAUCCAAGGUGGUUUUUUUUUGCUUGUUUUAAUUGAGCCUAUUAAACGUGUUUAAUCAACCAACGUGUUUAACCAGCAUAUUUAACCGACGUGUUUAACCAACCAACCAAUCAAUCAAUCAAUCAAUCAUUCAAUACAUGUUUCCGUUUCAUGUGUUUAAUACGGAAUCCAAGGUCUCUUUUUUUCGCUUGUUGCAAGAGACCCUGUAUCAAGUGUUUAACUAAUAAACCAACCAACCAACCAACCAACUAAUCAAUAAAUUUAUCAAUCAAUAUAUAUAUAUGAUAUAUUUAUUUAUGACAGUAUAAUUAAAAGAAAAUGGAAG